rnacentral:misc_RNA from 1 species
UACAAUUAUCCCAUGGACGAGCAAAACUGUCCAAUCUACAUAGAAACCUAUGGCUACACUGAAGAGAAUGUGCUUUUUAACUGGAAGUCUGUGGAUGCAGUUCAGGUGGACGAUGUGGAAAUGCCGCAGUUCUACUUCAGAAAGAGUCCCGCCAUCAGCAAGUGUACCCGAACAUUCAAAUAUGGCUCCGAGGCAACCUUUACUUGUUUAUCAACCACUCUGCACCUUCAACGCAACAUCGGCUACUACAUGGCACAGGUCUUUGUUCCCAGCAUCCUUAUCGUCAUUCUGUCGUGGGUGUCUUUCUGGAUACACGUGGACGCCAUUCCCGCCCGAAUUUCCUUGGGCGUGUUGACAGUGCUCACCAUUACUACACAGAGUGCUGGGAUACGGGCGUCUUUACCCCGUGUGUCUUACAUUAAGGCGAUAGACGUGUGGAAUUCCGCCUGUCUUGUGUUCGUGUUCACUGCUUUGUUGGAGUAUGCUUAUAUCAACGUUCAAACACGGCGUCAUCAAAAAUCUGCAUCAAAAGAAACCCUGUUGACGAUACAGGCCUCCAACCCUCUGGUCCUCUCCCAGGGCGUGACCCCAGCACGUUGCAUAGACGUCCGGAAGACUAUUGGAGCGAGAGAAAUGGACUACCUGAAGAGAGCACGGACUAUCGACAGGGUUGCGCGAUUUGCCUUCCCAAUCUCAUUCGCCAUUUUUAACAUUACAUUUUGGAUUUACUACAUGUUUGCACAUGAUUAUCAAAAUGAUUGAAAAGAAACUGUUUGCGUGUUAAUUGCCUGUAAUGAGCUCAAGAUAUGCAGAUGCAAAAAAGAAAAAUGACGUUAAGACAUAAAUACCAAGUGUUUAACUUUGUUAAAAAGAACAUUGAUUACUGUUUAUGUUAAUUACAUUCUAUGGUAUCUUUUUUUUAUUAAAUAGCAUUCCGUUGUC